rnacentral:rRNA from 1 species
CCCUUAGACGUUCUGGGCCGCACGCGCGCUACACUGAACAGUUCAACAAGUCUUAACCUUGGCCGAUAGGUCUGGGUAAUCUUUGAACGCUGUUCGUGAUUGGGAUAGACCUUUGCAAUUAUGGGUCUUCAACGAGGAAUUCCUAGUAAACGCAAGUCAUCAGCUUGCAUUGAUUACGUCCCUGCCCUUUGUACACACCGCCCGUCGCACCUACCGAUUGAAUGGUCCGGUGAAAUCUCGGGACGGCGGCUUGGUCGCUUGCGUCCGACUGCUGAAACUUGAUUAAACCAUAUCAUUUAGAGGAAGGUGAANUCGUAACA